rnacentral:lncRNA from 1 species
CCCCAAGCCCCCACAUAUAUAACACUUCUAACCCUAAAUCCUCCCCAAAUCCCCGUUCUAGCCGCCGGCCCGCCACUGCCUCUCCCGUCGCCCGCCGCCACCGCGUGCUCUCUCCACGACGUGACGCCACCCACUCCUCCGUCUAUUUUGUGAGAACAAUAAGUUAUUAAAUGAUUUUGAUGUUUGAUAUAUGUGUGAAUGGUAUUGAUUUUUUUUUUAAUGUUGCUGCUGCUAUUUUGGAGAUGUAAAACGGGUUCGGGUUCCUCGACGGGGAUGAAAAACCCGACGGGGACGGGGCUGGGAAAAUUUUGAAACCCGUGACCGGGAACGGGUACGGGGACGGGUCUGGGUUCAGAAUCUCGUGGAUGGGUUUGGGCAGCCAAUACGCGGCGGGUUUCGUCCCCGUUGCCACCCGGACCCUUUUGGCUACGCCAAUGUCAAAAGGUUG